rnacentral:rRNA from 1 species
UACGUAGGGGGGCAAGCGUUGUCCGGAAUCAUUGGGCGUAAAGAGCGUGUAGGCGGCCAUGUAGGUCCGUUGUGAAAACUCGAGGCUCAACCUCGAGACGCCGAUGGAAACCAUGUGGCUAGAGUCCGGAAGAGGAGAGUGGAAUUCCUGGUGUAGCGGUGAAAUGCGCAGAUAUCAGGAAGAACACCCGUGGCUAAGGCGGCUCUCUAGUACGGUACUGACGCUGAGACGCGAAAGCGUGGGGAGCGAACAGG